rnacentral:rRNA from 1 species
CCUACGGGAGGCAGCAGUGAGGAAUAUUGGUCAAUGGGCGGGAGCCUGAACCAGCCAAGUAGCGUGAAGGAAGAAUGUACAACGUGUUGUAAACUUCUUUUAUAAAGGAAUAAAGGCAGGCACUUGUGCCUGUUUGUGGGUACUUUAUGAAUAAGGAUCGGCUAACUCCGUGCCAGCAGCCGCGGUAAUACGGAGGAUCCGAGCGUUAUCCGGAUUUAUUGGGUUUAAAGGGGGCGUAGAGGGGUUGUUAAGUCAGUUGUGAAAGGUUGCGGCGCAACCGUAAAAGUGCCAUUGAUACUGGCAGGCUUGAGUACAGUUGAGGUACGCGGAAUGCGUGGUGUAGCGGUGAAAUGCUUAGAUAUCGCGAAGAACCCCGAUUGCGAAGGCAGCUUACUAAACUGCCACUGACGUUGAUGCUCGAAAGUGUGGGUAUCAAACAGGAUUAGAUACCCCUGUAGUC